GCGAGUUGGCGGCGCCUGCAGUCCCAGCUACUUUGGAGGCUGAGGCAGGAGAAUGGCGUGAACCCAGGGGGCGGAGCUUGCAGUGAGCCAAGAUCUCACCACUGCACUCCAGCCUGGGCGACAUAAAUACCUCCUUAAUGGGACAGAAUCAAGAAAAACGGGCAAUCUCUAGAGCAGAUCUCAAAGAACUUAGACCUCAGAUGCAAACACUAUCAUUCUCUGAAACAAAGGAAUAAGGAUGUGGAGAAAGGCUUUGUUAAGAGAGAUGACCAGGAAAAGCAAAACACAAGCAAAGUUUGUUAUGUAUACUUAAGUCAAUUCCUUCUCCUUUUAUUGAGUCUUCAGUGAUGUAGUUAUUCUCUUCCUGGUGCAGAAGGAGAGGGAGAGAAAGAGAGCGAAAGAGAAACCCUUGAAAACGUCUAUAAAUUUCCUUUAUAGAUGUAAAUUUAUCUUACAAAAGGGCAACUUCCAGCCUUGUUUUCAGUACUCUUUCUGUGUCUGCAGUUUCUCAAAAUAUCUAGCUCAAAAUACUCCUAAGCCAGAGAGGCAUAGUUCCGGUGACAUAGUCUGAUUGCAGCCUUAUUUUGGGGUGACAUGUUCUGAAUCCUGUAAGAAAUUAAAGCAAUCUAUAUUUUUGGUGAUAUAUUUUCAAAAUUUCAUGUGUAUUUUUUAAUUCUAUAUAAUCACCAUUAUUUCAAUAUUUUAUUAAAUAUAUUAAUAAUACUGUGGUGACAGUGUUAUUCAGCACGUCUACAAUGGAAAAAUUAUAUAUAUAUAUUUGGGGAAAAAUAUAUGUGAUUUAACAAGGGCUUUAUUUCCCUAACCUCAAAUUAUUUGGGGCAAUUUCCAGAUGUGUGGUAUGAAAUCAUGGAGCAAAUAUUUGACAUUAAUGUAAUUAAUUUCAUAUUUCACUUAAGGCUUAUUAAAACAGCUGUUAUAUAACAAUUUAAACAAAUGUUCAAAAAUUUUAAUUGCACAAAAUGAUUUUAGCUUUUUUUUUCAAAUCUGAGACAUUCUGAUAUGAUGUACAGUACCAAACAUUGAUCAAAAGCUAAAAAUAUCUCCAGGCAUAGUUGUUAUAUAUAAAUAUGUGUGUGUGUGUGAUAUAUAUAUACACACACAUAUACAUAUACAUAUAUAUAUUUCUCCCCUAGGGUUAUGGUGGCUAUAUUGCAUCAAUGAUCUUAAAAUCAGAUGAAAAGCUUUUUAAAUGUGGAUCAGUGGUUGCACCUAUCACAGACUUGAAAUUGUAUGCCUGAGCUUUCUCUGAAAGAUACCUUGGGAUGCCAUCCAAGGAAGAAAGCACUUACCAGGCAGCCAGUGUGCUACAUAAUAUUCAUGGCUUGAAAGAAGAAAAUAUAUUAAUAAUUCAUGGAACCGCUGACAGUAAGUAUUAUACUUGCUGCUGUUGUUUAAUAGGGUAUGACCUUUUACAAAGGGAUACAUCUAAGUACUUGCUUACAGGAAGCCCUGUAAACCUUCUGAAGAAGGGAGCAGAGAGUCACACAAGCAAUCAGAUACAUGCUUGGAGGUAGGAAAAAAGAAUUCAGAGAUGAGAGGAGGCUGUGCCUCUAAUGGCACCAUUGUCCAGUCAAAUUCCCUGUAAUGAUGGAAAUACUUUAUCAGUGCUGCUGAAGAGUAGCCACCAGCCACUUGUGGCCAUACUGUGUUUAGUGUGACUGAGGAACUGAAUUGAUUUUAUUUAAUUUUAAUUUAAAAAGGCACUUGUGUCUAACGACUGUGGUGACAGUGUUAUUCAGCACAUCUACAAUGGAAACCAACCUGGAAAACAGAAACCAAAAACAUGCACGCACUGACAUGAAAUUCUAAUGAGGUUACCCGCUUAAAUGAACUUAAAACAAAAACUUUAAAAAGGCACUUUUCUACCAUCUCUCAUGUUUUCAUCACUUUAAACCUUGGAGGUGGAUGUGAUUGAUGUUAGUAGCAAUAAAUCAUAUCACUUUAUAUUUACAUGACACUC